GACGAACGCUGGCGGCGUGCUUAACACAUGCAAGUCGAACGAUGAACCCGGAGCUUGCUCUGGGGGAUUAGUGGCGAACGGGUGAGUAACACGUGAGUAACCUGCCCUGGACUCUGGGAUAAGCGUUGGAAACGACGUCUAAUACCGGAUAGGACCUUGGAUCGCAUGAUCUGGGGUGAAAAGUUUUUUCGGUCUGGGAUGGACUCGCGGCCUAUCAGCUUGUUGGUGAGGUAAUGGCUCACCAAGGCGUCGACGGGUAGCCGGCCUGAGAGGGUGACCGGCCACACUGGGACUGAGACACGGCCCAGACUCCUACGGGAGGCAGCAGUGGGGAAUAUUGCACAAUGGGCGAAAGCCUGAUGCAGCAACGCCGCGUGCGGGAUGACGGCCUUCGGGUUGUAAACCGCUUUUAGUAGGGAAGAAGGGCUUCGGCUUGACGGUACCUGCAGAAAAAGGACCGGCUAACUACGUG
rnacentral:rRNA from 1 species